rnacentral:lncRNA from 1 species
AGCAAUUGAACCAAUGAAAUCCGAGUUGUUCCUUUCUCCUCCCUUGCACUUCUUCCAAAGUGGACACUCCCACUUAAAGUGCCCUGCUUCACCACACUUGAAGCACUUUCUAACGUCCUUGCUGUCCUUAUUGGACCGUCUCCGCCCCACCUGCUCGAUGCUUUUCUUCUCACUUUAGGUCUCUCCAAAAUUGCAACAUCCUCCUGGAAGACCUCCCUCUUCGUUAUCCAUUCCC